AGAAUAAGUCUUAACCUUGGGAAGCACAUGAAGCUGCAGUUUGACAUCAAUGAAACUUCGCAAAGGACAGCUGUAGAAGAAAAGAUCAGGGCUCAACCUCAACCUUCGGAUUCAAUCAACAGACCAAGCACAGCCUCUACACCUGACUUGCGAGAUCUCAAAAAGAAAUCUGAUGAGCAAGAAGAAACCAUAGAGAAGCUAGCUCAGACAGUUGAGGAACUUAAGAGUAAACUGGAUCAUGUGCAAGAGAAAGCUCAAUCAAAAU
rnacentral:sRNA from 1 species